rnacentral:rRNA from 4 species
CCUCGAUUCAGCGGCGGACGGGUGAGUAAUGCCUAGGAAUCUGCCCAGUAGUGGGGGACAACGUUUCGAAAGGAACGCUAAUACCGCAUACGUCCUACGGGAGAAAGUGGGGGAUCUUCGGACCUCACGCUAUUGGAUGAGCCUAGGUCGGAUUAGCUAGUUGGUAGGGUAAAGGCCUACCAAGGCGACGAUCCGUAACUGGUCUGAGAGGAUGAUCAGUCACACUGGAACUGAGACACGGUCCAGACUCCUACGGGAGGCAGCAGUGGGGAAUAUUGGACAAUGGGCGAAAGCCUGAUCCAGCCAUGCCGCGUGUGUGAAGAAGGCCCUCGGGUCGUAAAGCACUUUAAGUUGGGAGGAAGGGCUUACAGCGAAUACCUGUGAGUUUUGACGUUACCAACAGAAUAAGCACCGGCUAACUUCGUGCCAGCAGCCGCGGUAAUACGAAGGGUGCAAGCGUUAAUCGGAAUUACUGGGCGUAAAGCGCGCGUAGGUGGCUUGAUAAGUUGGAUGUGAAAUCCCCGGGCUCAACCUGGGAACUGCAUCCAAAACUGUCUGGCUAGAGUGCGGUAGAGGGUAGUGGAAUUUCCAGUGUAGCGGUGAAAUGCGUAGAUAUUGGAAGGAACACCAGUGGCGAAGGCGACUACCUGGACUGACACUGACACUGAGGUGCGAAAGCGUGGGGAGCAA